GAGAGAGAGAGAGAGAGAGAAACUAUUGUAUUGUGUUUCACUUACACUUCAAUAAUGAGAAGGGAAUCAGAAAGGCAUGCAGAGGACAAUCAGACGACUUAAUCAACAAAUACAAGCAUGUCAGAAAGCCCAUGAAAAUAUAAAGAGAGUCUGAAAGAAGAAUGCACUACAUUGAAGGACAAGGAAAUCGAGGAUGAAAUGGGGCGAAAUGAUAGAUUGAGAAACUAAAGAGAAGAAGAGUAAAAAAGAUUGGAAUUGACAACAAAGCAGAAACCGGAAACUCAUUUAAAUGAUUACAAAUAAUGAUAAAAACAAAAAAUAAAA
rnacentral:misc_RNA from 1 species